rnacentral:rRNA from 1 species
UGGGGAAUAUUGGACAAUGGGCGCAAGCCUGAUCCAGCCAUACCGCGUGGGUGAAGAAGGCCUUCGGGUUGUAAAGCCCUUUUGUUGGGAAAGAAAUCCAGCUGGUUAAUACCCGGUUGGGAUGACGGUACCCAAAGAAUAAGCACCGGCUAACUUCGUGCCAGCAGCCGCGGUAAUACGAAGGGUGCAAGCGUUACUCGGAAUUACUGGGCGUAAAGCGUGCGUAGGUGGUUGUUUAAGUCCGUUGUGAAAGCCCUGGGCUCAACCUGGGAACUGCAGUGGAUACUGGGCGACUAGAAUGUGGUAGAGGGUAGCGGAAUUCCUGGUGUAGCAGUGAAAUGCGUAGAGAUCAGGAGGAACAUCCAUGGCGAAGGCAGCUACCUGGACCAACAUUGACACUGAGGCACGAAAGCGUGGGGAGCAAACA